AUGGGCGCCAUGGCUGCCGUGCCACGCUCGGCACGGAGCUCGCGCGCGCUGUGGCCGAGCCCAGGCCAAAGCUCUUGCGCGCCGGGGACGGAGCUCGCGUGCGCCGUGGCUGGGCCGGAGCAGACGCACGCCCAUGCCGGAGCUCCUUAUGUAUAUAACAUUUACCAAGGAAGAACAACUGGAAGCCCUAGAGUCGGAAAAAGAAGCAAUAGAGCAGAGGAAGCGGCUGGAGGACAACGGGCGCACUACUCGGUUCAGUUAGACCAGCCCCAUAACCCACAGCCACAACGGUGGUCUUGUGUCCAAAGGUUCCUUAUCCUUCCCCAACAGGCAUCACCUCCUCUUCUUCACAAGGUCCAUCGUCUCUUCCUACCACCAAAUCAACCCCAGAACUGA
rnacentral:rRNA from 1 species